UACGAAGGUGGCAAGCGUUGUUCGGAUUUACUGGGCGUACAGGGAGCGUAGGCGGUUGGAUAAGCCCUCCGUGAAAUCUCCAGGCUUAACCUGGAAAGUGCAGAGGGGACUGUUCAGCUAGAGGAUGGGAGAGGAGCGCGGAAUUCCCGGUGUAGCGGUGAAAUGCGUAGAUAUCGGGAGGAACAUCAGUGGCGAAGGCGGCCUUCUGGUCCAGUACUGACACUCAAGUGCGAAAGCGUGGGGAGCAACAGGGAUUAAGA
rnacentral:rRNA from 1 species